UACGUAGGGUGCAAGCGUUAAUCGGAAUUACUGGGCGUAACGCGUGUGCAGGCGGCUUUGCAAGACAGAUGUGAAAUCCCCGGGCUCAACCUGGGAACUGCAUUUGUGACUGCAAGGCUAGAGUACGGUAGAGGGGGAUGGAAUUCCGCGUGUAGCAGUGAAAUGCGUAGAUAUGCGGAGGAACACCGAUGGCGAAGGCAAUCCCCUGGACCUGUACUGACGCUCAUGCACGAAAGCGUGGGGAGCAAACAGG
rnacentral:rRNA from 1 species